GCGGUGCACGCGGAGCUCCGGGGAGCGGCCGGGUCUCCUCGCGCGGGUCAGCGGAGUGAAGACUGAAGGGAAGCGGCUCGGGCUGUUUAUCUGAUGCGGGGGGGAGCUGGGGGUCAAGCAGAGCGGCAGGUCUGAAUCAGUGAAACGGAUAUCGACCCUCACACAGCCCACCUAGCCUGUCUGACUGAGGACCCCCGCGGCGCUACGGGCUGCACGAGCUCCAGAAGAGCAGGACCACCCGAGACCGAGCGGUUUAAUACGGUGUGUUAAAGUCCUGAGAGCUCUGAGGAGGGGGAGGAGAGAUGUGUCCGUGUGUUUCAGUCAGUGGACGAGGUGAAUGAAGCCCCCCGGAGCUGAACACAUCUGGAGAGAGACGCUGAGUGAGAAUCCAAGAUUAACAAAGGAACACAGAAGCCAAGAGGAACUAGCUGAACCAGCCAUCAGUGUGGAUGAGGAUGACUGCAGCUGCAGCCAGGAAGAAAAGUCUUUGUUUUUUAAUGAGGUUGAAACAGCGUACGGUUUUGUUUUUCUUUUUAUGAGCCAGGGGCUUUUUGCAAAGGAUGUUGAUUUGCACGGAUUGAAGUAUUUGUCUUCUUGCUCUUCUUUCUUCUUAUAAAGUGCAACCAAAACCAGUGCCAAACAUUAACUGUGCCAAGCAGAAGCAAAAAAGAAAAAAAAUCAACUGUAAUUUUGAGAUCCUUUUUCAUCAUUUAAUCGUAAUUGUCAAAAAUAUUGAACCAUUUUCAUUGCAUUUCCCAUCUACCUUUUUUCUUUCUUUUUUAAAAAUAAGUGAUUAUUCUACCAGAACGGUGCAAAUUGUAGUGAAGACAAAAAGUAUUUAAGUGGCCGAAGAUAUUUUCAGAUGUUUUUUUGUUAAAAAAAAAAAGUUGCUGCUCCAAGAAUUAGGGAGAAUAGUGCAUUACUGGUUCAAAGUGCUUUAUUUAAGGGUGUUAGCAGCGCAUUAGCCUGUGUGCUAGCACGCUCUCACACUGGGAGGAAUUGCCCUGGACUGAUUGAUCGAUGGAUGGUUGGGCUUGAUGGAUGGCUCGCACAAGCCUCAUUAACCUCCCCAAAGUGACCUGCUGCUAAUUUUAUCAUUUAGUCAACUGUCCCCCUCAAUAACAAGUCCUCAUCUGUGUCCGCUUCUUCAUAUGACCUCUGGGUCAUUCUAAGCGUGUGCUUUUUCACGAGAACUUUUUCUUGGGAGAACGUCCCUCUCAUUUUCUUCUCUGAUCUCUGCGCACUGUGCACAUUUAGAACGAAGCCCAUACGAGUCUUUUUUUGGCUCUGAAAAAAAAAGAAUUUCACUAAAGCCAUAGGCCCCAUAGCCAUGCUAAAGUCAAAAUCUUUUUUGUCAUUGCAGAAGCCAUAAUCUUCAUAGCCAUGCUAAUGCUAAGAUCCCUGUCAUCGCAGUUAAGAUUGUGUUCUGCAAAUAUGAUGAAUAUGAAGUUGCUUUAGAAGAAGCACAGGAUCGCAAGAAAAUAUUCAGGGUUCCUUUAGAGACCAGUGGUGGCACGGGUGCAUUAUUGCCAUAUUUACCAGCAUGCAAUCUGUGGCUUUAAUCUGUUUACAAGUAAUCUGUUAAAUUUUCUGCUUUGUUUUCACGAUUGGAAGAAGCGAAAGUACUCCUCAGUACACAGAACAGAUUAAUUGAUUUGGCUGCGCGGGUCAAUACUGUGUCUGUUUGUUGCCCUCCACGUGUUCUAUAUUGACGAAUGAAUCCCACCUCGUUCAUGUCUGUUCAGAGGGCACAGUCGCGUUGUCCUGCCAGAGCUGGGCCUAAGCCCCCGUUCGUUUUAUUUUGUUGGGCCGAGUUGAACCCAGAACAGAGACAUUCACGGAAACGAGUCCAACACACCUAGACCCUUCAGCAGGCAACCCCUCGGCCUUCCCUCGCACCCAACCUCGCCAGGCCAUCUUCUGUGCCAUCCCUGACAUCCAUACAAGCAUGCACACAGUCCUCCUCUGACUUUUUGUGAAGUCAGGAACUAAUACAUGCUGCUUGGUACCUUUUACAAGUACCCUGACCGACUCGACUCUCCUCAAGCCUUUGUGAAGAGCUGUCGUCUUGUUGUAUCGCCUUUAGAAAAGAGAUCCGAUCUUCCUUCGUUUUGAAUUUCAGAAUUAUCAUUUUGCCGUCACUUCCUUUGAGGUUAUGUUCUUGCUGUACACUCCUACUAUUUCCUGUAGCCUCAAUAACUUACUAAACACAGAGGUUGUAUUUUUGUAUGCACAUAGACCGAGAAAUUAACCUGCUGUUGUGAUCAGUUGGACUGUGGAAUCAGACGCCCAAGAAUCUAGAGGCUAAAAAGCUCUUUUAUUUAUUUAUUUAUUUAUUGAAUUAUUUAUUUAUUGUUUUGUAAAUUUAAUUGACAAAUACGUCAGCCCACUCAGAUUUGUUUACAACGUAUCAUAUUUCAGAGCUUCCACAAAUCGUUUACAGUUCGAAGCUAAAAGAGCUAAAAACCAUACAGUAAGAGAUUUUUACUGAAGUUUAUAUCAUUUCUUUCAUUGAGAUCUUUUUAAGUUUGAGUAGUUGUGUAGAGCAACUAAAGUGCCAACUAGGAGCAAGAACCUAUCCAAAAAAUAGGAAUAAAGUAAAAGUAGACUUCGAGAUAUCA
rnacentral:lncRNA from 1 species